UACGGAGGUCAUCCCAGACCUGGCGCUGUCUACGGUGGUGGACGUGAUCGCACUAGGCCGAGCGAGGAUGAAGCACAACCCGAUUAUGGACGCCAUAGGCCUUCUUACGGUGGAGAAGAAGAAGAGUCGGGCUACCGCAAGCCAAGACCUGCAUACGGUGAAGAAGAAGAAGAGUCGGGCUACCGCAAGCCAAGACCCUCAUACGGCGAAGAAGAAUCCGAGGAAGGGGGAUACCGCAAGUCCAGACCUUCCUACGGCGAGGAAGAGUCCGAGGAGGGAGGAUACCGCAAAUCGAGACCCUCAUAUGGCGAGGAAGAGUCCGAGGAGGGAGGAUACCGCAAAUCCAGACCCUCAUAUGGCGAGGAAGAGUCCGAGGAGGGAGGAUACCGCAAAUCCAGACCCUCAUAUGGCGAGGAAGAGUCCGAGGAGGGAGGAUACCGCAAGCCGAAACCUAAAUACGGCGACGACGAGGAGGUGUCCGAUUACCGUAGGUCAGGAUACGGUGAAGAAGAAGAGUCUGGUUAUCGCGAACCGAAGCCAACUUACAAUGAGGAAGAGAGCGAGGAGUCUGGGCACCGUCGCUCUCGAUACGGGGAAGAAGAGGCUCCCGCCGAGGAGGGAGGCUACGGUGGCUAUGGCCGUCGCAAGCAGCACAACGAGGAGGAGUCC
rnacentral:lncRNA from 1 species